UACGGGGGGGGUAAGCGUUGUCCGGAAUCACUGGGCGUAAAGGGCGCGUAGGCGGCCUGGUAAGUAGGGGGUGAAAUCCUGCGGCUUAACCGCAGGGCUGCCUUCUAAACUGUCAGGCUCGAGCACGGUAGAGGCAGAUGGAAUUCCCGGUGUAGCGGUGGAAUGCGCAGAUAUCGGGAAGAACACCUGUGGCGAAGGCGGCUCUCUGGGACGGUACUGACGCUGAGACGCGAAAGCGUGGGGAGCGAACAGG
rnacentral:rRNA from 1 species